GACGAACGCUGGCGGCGCGCCUAACACAUGCAAGUCGAACGGAGCUGAGAGAAGCUUGCUUUUCUUAGCUUAGUGGCGAACGGGUGAGUAACGCGUGAGUAACCUGCCCUGGAGUGGGGGACAACAGUUGGAAACGACUGCUAAUACCGCAUAAGCCCACGAUCCGGCAUCGGAUUGGGGGAAAAGGAUUUAUUCGCUUCAGGAUGGACUCGCGUCCAAUUAGCUAGUUGGUGAGGUAACGGCCCACCAAGGCGACGAUUGGUAGCCGGACUGAGAGGUUGAACGGCCACAUUGGGACUGAGACACGGCCCAGACUCCUACGGGAGGCAGCAGUGGGGGAUAUUGCACAAUGGGGGAAACCCUGAUGCAGCGACGCCGCGUGGAGGAAGAAGGUUUUCGGAUUGUAAACUCCUGUCGUUAGGGACGAUAAUGACGGUACCUAACAAGAAAGCACCGGCUAACUACGUG
rnacentral:rRNA from 1 species